CAUCAUGUGAUGCUUAUGAUACAUAUGUAUUUAUUGUUUAUCAACUUACAAAUGUAAUGCUUAUGAUGCUCAAUUAAUGGUGUUGAUUUCAUGUAUAGUCCCUGUGUGAUGUUGUCACCCUUGGUCGGAACAGGUCGUUGACUAUAGACACCGUAAACCAUUUAGUUGAGGAUCCUGCAUAGUCUACAUAAAGUAAAGGAACCUGAACCCCUUUGACGAGGAUCCUGCACAGUCUCAUGGAUGGAUAGGGCGAUAUGGAUCCAUCACAUAGCGCAGAUAGGGAUGUAGGUUGCGACACUUCUAUCGAGCAGACAUAUGUUUGGGGAAAGGGAAAGGGAGCUGGAGUACCUGAGCACCUCUCUAGGGAUGUGGACUCAACAAGAUUAAGCGAUGAUGACCUUGAAAAUUCCACACACCCUAUGGAAUUCAUAAAAAAAGACUUAGAAAAAUUAGUAAAGAGAUUGUUGCUUUGGCAUCCAUGUAUCCUAUGAUUGAUAAGAUACGAGAGAGGGUGCAAGUAUUGAUUCAGACAGCAGAAAACUUGCAACAAUUUCUGCGCCCUCAUGAAAAUGGUGACCAUGAUCAGGGUAUUGCAGGUACUUCAGGUGUUGUCAAUGUUCCUGUGCAAAUGUCAUCGCUGCGUCAUCAGAGGUAGCCCCACAUGUAUUGCCGACUGUAAUGUCGGCAAUACGUAGCAUGCAGACAUCUUCUACUGCAUGUCAUAUUGGCCUGCCCACUGUUGCAGGAGAUGCACAUGAGGAUGCACCAAAGGUGACUAUUACUGAUAACAUACCAUCAUUUCCUGGAUCUUCUUGUAUUGCUAAUACGGGAACGUUGCAGGCCACAUUGGUGGUGAGCGAUCAAGAAAUGAUUCCCUUAAAGAUACAGAAGGUUCCAGGAAAAUGAUAUUUUCUAUAAACAUCUUAGUGACAUUGCAUUGCAUAUAUUUGGGCCCACCAUAUGUAAAAAGUGGUACAUCAUAUGUGAACUAACCCUAAUCCACUAUUUUGAUUUCAUAUCAUUGCUAAAAGAGUUUUCCUUUGAUCCAUUUCUUGAACUAUAAUAAAUGUAGCUUCAGUUCAUUUAUGAAUCUAACAGGUUUGUUUUUGCUUUAAAAGGUGGAAUAACCAAGAAAAAAGGUUAAAAGAUGAAUUGACAAACCAAAUGGUUGAGUGGUUUGGAAAUUACACCUUUGACAAAACCAAGCUCCUUGAAAAAGCUGACACAUAUCUAAAGUAUGUGAGGGACCAAUACAAGACCCAUUUAGAGAAGAACCUAAAGUACGAGUGUCCCCCUAUGAUUCCAAAGAGGGAGUGGAAGGACCUGAUUUUGGAUGCCAAGGAGAGAAUUUAAAGUAAAAAAAGAAAUACACCACCAGACGCCAAAAGAAGACACGUGAUACUAUUAUGAAUGUAAUUAUGUACUAAUUAAUUACUUUGUAUAUUUAUAUAAUCUAACAUAUUUCAAACUUUUUAUAGACUGAGUGACACGUCAAAGGCAACCAAGGCAAGACAAGAAAAGAACGUGCAACACAAACUCGACUCUGGUGGUUAUAUGAAACUUGUUACACGGGUUGUAAGUAUCUCAUGUAAAUGAAAUAUUGCAUCAAAAUAUUAAUAAAUUUCAAAUGAUUUUUUUUUUAAUCAAACAAUGCAAGCAAAAUAAAGGAUACCAAGCAAAAAUGUAGGGCUCUGAAUUCAAUAGAGCGCCCACAGAAGAUGACAAGAGAAUUGCCUACUAGCAAGGCUAUACACUCGUGGUUGAUCGACUACAAGAAUUGAGUGGGCAUACACAAUAUUUGAGUGCAUCAGUCAUAUAGGUAAAUAUGCUAAAUGGAAAUUAUUUCAAAUUGAAUACUUAACCAAUAAUCUAAUUUGUGUUGAGUUCCAACAUAAAGUGACUAUAUUUGUUUUAAAUAAGCAAGCAAUGAUAACAAUGUGCAUGACAGUGGAAUACAGCCUGCUAAUCAUGAAACACCACCUGCACAUGAAGGUUCAGAUGUGCAUCCCAGUAGUGGAAGUAUUCAUUUGCUAUUCAAAUUUAAUUAUGUAGUUAUUAAUGUUGGUAAAUGCACACUCCAAUGAGAAAUUGUAGGUGAUUGAAGGUUUUGUCAUUGAUGACAACCUUGCAAUCAUAUGAUACCGGCAAGACAGAAUACUGACACC